GGGAUUGCCUCAGUAACGGCGAGUGAAGCGGCAACAGCUCAAAUUUGAAAUCUGGCUCCUUCGGGGUCCGAAUUGUAAUUUGUAGAGAGUGCUUCGGGCGAGACCUCGGUCUAAGUCCAUUGGAACAUGGUGUCAUAGAGGGUGAGAAUCCCGUAUGCGACCGUGGCUCGAGCCCAUGUGAAGCCUCUUCGACGAGUCGAGUUGUUUGGGAAUGCAGCUCAAAACGGGUGGUAAAUUUCAUCUAAAGCUAAAUACUGGCUGGAGACCGAUAGCGCACAAGUAGAGUGAUCGAAAGAUGAAAAGCACUUUGGAAAGAGAGUCAAACAGUACGUGAAAUUGUUGAAAGGGAAGCGCUUGCAACCAGACCUGCCCGUAGGCGAUCAGCCGCUGUUCUCAGCGGUGCACUCGCUCUGCGAUCAGGCCAGCAUCGGUUUCGGCGGUCGGAUAAAGGCCUUGGGAAUGUAGCUUCCCUUCGGGGGAGUCUUAUAGCCCUCGGUGCAAUGCGGCCAGCCGGGACCGAGGACCGCGCUUCGGCUAGGAUGCUGGCGUAAUGGUUGUAAGCGACCCGUCUUGAAACACGGACCAAGGAGUCUAACAUCUAUGCGAGUGUUUGGGUGUCAAACCCAUACGCGGAAUGAAAGUGAACGGAGGUGAGAACCCUUAAGGGCGCAUCAUCGACCGAUCCAGAUGUCUUCGGAUGGAUUUGAGUAUGAGCAUAGCUGUUGGGACCCGAAAGAUGGUGAACUAUGCCUGAAUAGGGUGAAGCCAGAGGAAACUCUGGUGGAGGCUCGCAGCGGUUCUGACGUGCAAAUCGAUCGUCAAAUUUGGGUAUAGGGGCGAAAGACUAAUCG
rnacentral:rRNA from 1 species